ACACUCCUGCGGGAGGCAGCAGUGGGGAAUUUUGGACAAUGGGCGAAAGCCUGAUCCAGCAAUGCCGCGUGAGUGAAGAAGGCCUUCGGGUUGUAAAGCUCUUUUGUCAGGGAAGAAACGGUGAGAGCUAAUAUCUCUUGCUAAUGACGGUACCUGAAGAAUAAGCACCGGCUAACUACGUGCCAGCAGCCGCGGUAAUACGUAGGGUGCAAGCGUUAAUCGGAAUUACUGGGCGUAAAGCGUGCGCAGGCGGUUUUGUAAGUCUGAUGUGAAAUCCCCGGGCUCAACCUGGGAAUUGCAUUGGAGACUGCAAGGCUAGAAUCUGGCAGAGGGGGGUAGAAUUCCACGUGUAGUAGUGAAAUGCGUAGAUAUGUGGAGGAACACCGAUGGCGAAGGCAGCCCCCUGGGUCAAGAUUGACGCUCAUGCACGAAAGCGUGGGGAGCAAACAGGAUUAGAAACCCUUGUAGUCCCAUG
rnacentral:rRNA from 1 species